AUAGACCGUAAUCAAUAAAAGGCGAUAAACAUAAAAACAGAUAUGUAAAAAUUCAAGAAAUACUCAGUAUUCAUUAGGGUGAACUUAGAGGAUCGUAGAACAUUUUAUUAAUUUGUAGUUUAUGUAUGUUUGACAAAUAUUGCUGGGUAUGUAAAUACGAGGGGCGUAAUGUCUUUUCAGCGGGAGAUGAAGAAAUGACCCAAAGUCUGUGGUGCUGGUACACUGAUCAGACGAAUUACUCACCAGUUCAAACUGUGCUUUCAUCCCAUACAGCACAUUUCCAGCAUGUCGUGGGAAAUAGUGCAAAGAAACCAAUGACUUAAAACGUCAUGUUGUCGAUGUACAUUUGCAUUUUAAAAUCAUUCUGUACUUUAUUAUGAUUCAUGAUGGUAUAUUUAUGUUUUUUUCUGAUCAUGUAAAAGAUAAAUUUGACAUGUUAUAUUUCAGUACUGACUGAUAAACAAUAACUUUUAUUCUAUUCUAUUGUAAACGAUUCUCUUAUAUUCCGUUUUACAGAACUUUGGUAACCGCUUAGGUAACUCUUGGCCAAGGUACGAACUACGCUGUGUUAGAACUGUAAAUUGAUCCACUCCGCUAGCGGUUGUCACUGGUUGGUUGCGGGGUCUUGCGCUCCGCUGCGCCCGCAGGCUGUCCAGGGCUGUCCAGGGCUGUCCAGAGGUCAGUCCUCCCUGUCAUUUAAAAACGCAUGAAACUCGACACCGAAGGACAGUUGCGCAACCCAAAGCGAUUUACAGCCUGUUGCUAAUGCUAACUUUUUAUCCGGCUUCAAAUAAAUUAAAAAUAAAUGCACGAAUGAAUAAAUAUCCGCGAUUAUUCGUCUUGUUGUUGUUGCUGUUGUUGUUGUUGUUGAUGAUGAUGAUGAUGAUGAUGAUGAUGAUGAUGACGACGAUGGUGAUGAUGCAGCUGUUAUGGUCAGUUCUUGUUUUUAAGAUUUUGUAAUAAUUAAUUUCGUCAAGAGCUGGAGGUGUAGAGGUUCGUGCCGGAUGUGCGCGAAGAAGAUUGGGAGUGCAUGUCUCGAGCAGCAGGGGUGUAGAGGCAUAAUGGAGAGCAGGAAACAACUUUUUCUUCGGUGCAGUACAGGCGUCACUCUUGCAGGAGGAUAGCACGAAGGUCUCCUCGCAUUGCUCACCCUCCAAAAAACGAGACGAAUACCCGUGAGAUACUCUGUCUCUCGAUGCGCAAAUAAAAUAGGUAAUGUUGAUUAUAAAAAAGUGUAACUACCGGAUAAUUCGCCUGUUCUCUUCUGCCCAUCUAUUACCCUUCUUCAACUCUAAUGAUUGCAUGAAAAAAAAAAUGAAGCAAGUGAUGAUGAAUUAUAUUACAGGAGCGUUUAAUCGCUGGGAGGGAUAUUCCGUCAUUCAUUAUCACUGGCUCAGGGUGAUGAUGUAUGACUCACUUAUAUAGAUGUGAUGCUCUCAUAAAAAUGAUUUCAUUAUUUCUAGUUUUCAUUAUCGGUGUUAUUGUAUUCCGCUACACUCAAAGUUGGAGCCUUUGAACUGAUUGAUGUCUUUUUUGUGUCUUUGCUGACAAGAUACACAAAAUACUGCGCAAUUCGACGCAAUUUUGCCCACUCAAUUUGGACUAUAAAUGACCAGUGUGGAUGUGACCAUAAGGAAGACGGGAAAUAUGGAAAUGUGGAUCAUUUAAUUAGUUUUGUUUAGAUUGUGAUGUUGACCUGCUCAGAUAAACCCCAGUGGACGCUAUACGUUUAAUUAAAAUGUCACGUGUGUUAGCUUGUGUUGAACACCCAACCACGUUCACAUAAUACCAUAUGGGAUUUUUCUUUAAAGUUGGUUUUUUUCUUCUGUUUAUGACUUAAAUAAAAGGUUUCUGGGUAAAAUCCUGGUCAUUAUAACAAUGAUCUGAAUUUGGCGUCCUGAAAAUGUGAAUUAUACGAUCGUUUCCUAACAUGUGUUAGAUUAGGUUGUAUGUGCUGUAAAAUUAAUUUUUCACAUAUAUAGCUUCGCAUUAAA